GCUGCGGUAGCUGCGGCAGCGGUGGUGGCUGCAGCAGCUGCUUUUGGGAAAGAGAAAGAAAGGAAAGGGAAAGAAGAAGAGGUUGCGGUUGCGGUGGUGGCGGCUGUAUCUGCGGCAGCUGUGUUUGGGAAAGAAAAAAGUAGGAACAAGAGAAGGGAGGAAGGAAGUAGUACAGUGGAAGGGGCUGCGGUUGUGACGGAAGGGGCGAUCGUGGCUACGACUGUGGUAGUGGUAGCGGCGAUGGCUGCGAUAGCUGCGUUUGAAAAAAAGAAAACGAAGGAAUGAGAGUAAGAGAGAGAAAGUGACUAUGCCUCUAUGUUCUGUAUGAGCUACAGUUGUGGAGGAAAAAAAGAAGACAUAUGUAGAAAACAAAACAGGAAGAGGACACGGAGGAAAAGUAGAAGGAUUUGGGCUGACACCGUCUUUGGAUCUUCGGAUCAAAAUCUUUGAAAGGCAAGUGUUUUGAUCCUUCAUAUUGCAAGUGUUCUGAUCCUUUCUAUUGCAAGUGUUUCGAUCCUUUUUAUUGCAAGUGUUUCGAUCCUUUCUAUUGCAAGUGUUCCAAUCCUUCCUAUUGCAAGCUUUCUAAUAUUUCCUAUUGCAAGUGUUCUGAUCCUUCCUAUUGCAAGUGUUCCGAUCCUUUCUAUUGCAAGUGUUAUAAUCCUUCCUAUUGCAAGUGUUCCGAUCCUUCCUAUUGCAAGCUUUCUAAUCUUUCAUAUUGCAAGUGUCUUAAUCUUUCCUUACUGUAAUUUUAUCUCUACAUUUACUUUGAAUAUGAGGAACUUUGAAUUGUUCUAGCCUUGCAUUUGAUAUAUCUUCUAUUUAGACGUAACGAUUUAAAUCUGUGCAACUUCUGAGAUUAUGACCUUUCUACAUUGUUAUGGUUAUAACUUCAUGUAUUGACCUCUGAUUUGGACAAACUUAUUUGAUCAGAAUAUAGACUCAUAAACCUUUCUUUUGAUAGCUUAUUUUAAGAAUUCGGAGUAAGUUUGUCUGCCCAAACUUCUGUUUCAAAUGAGCCAACAGAUUCUGCAAAACAGGGAUCGUAAUUUCUGACCUUUUGAUAUUGAACUGCCUAUAAGUCCCUGUUGGAAAUGUUGAUUUAUUCAAAGCUUAUUUCAUUAGAAACUAGACUCGUAGAUCAUUCUUUGAUACUUGGAUUGUAAGAUUUAGAGUCCAAAUGCUUGCCCAGUUUUUUGUUGAAUCCGACCUUGUGAAUUAUGUAAAAUUGAGAUUUGUUCUUCGAUCUUGGGUUACCAAAUCUAUUGUAACUCCUUGUUGGAAACCUUGAUUCAUACGAAACUUAUUUCAUCAGAAACUAGAUUGAAAUAUCUUUCCAAUGAUAAUAUCUUUCAAAUGAUAUAUUUUCUGAGGAAAAUUGGAGAACGAUUGAUAGUUUGAAUCAUUUAUUCAAUGUGCCUCUUGAAUUCUGUCAGAAAUCGAGCUUUGGUCGAUUUCAUAUAUUCUGGUUUCAUUCCUUUGGAAAUUGAUUUCAUCUAACCUUCUUAUUUGAAUUGAGCUAUAUGUGAUUGCUUUGAAUCCUUAUACACUCUUGUUUUCAUUUCCUUUCAAAUCUGAAUACAUUUGUGAAGGAUUAUGUUUGCAUCGUAUUGACUCAUAAAGGCACAUGUACAUUUCAUUGUUCCGCAUGUACUUUUGAUAUGUCCCAAUUUAUUGUUCACAAUACCCUUUUAUGCUCUAGUGUUUGUGGGAUUAUUUGGACCUUUGCCAGAAAUUGUAAAGGGUAUGUGCUUAGAGCCUGCGAUGCUCUAGAUUAUGUUUGGUGGUCAUUCAGAAAUGGAUGGACUAUAUUAUGUUUGGAAUCCCACUUCACCAUCUAUCUGUUUGAUAUGAAAUUCAGAGCCGACCUAGCACUUGGGCAGGGUGAGAGGGCUCGCGUAGGAAAGGGCUACCCGUGGAUGGAGUCGAGAACUCAUCACGGCGUGGAGCCACCACUGAGUUAAACCUCAUAUGCACUAUGCUAGGGUACGAUGUCUGAGCUUAUGUUUCGUAUUUUGUAUUGAUAUGCUCCAAAAUAUUUCCUAUGCCAUUGAUAUGCUUCAAAAUGCUUCACAUACCAUUAAUAUGUUCCGAAAUGUUCCAUUUGUCAUUGAUAUUCUCCGGAACAUCUUGUACGCUAUUGAUAUGCUCCAAUUACUCUAUGCUUCAUUGGUUAUGAACCAAAUAUGUUUUGAAUGAUAUGACACAUAUGAUUUUGUAUCUAAUAAGAUGGUAUCCUUGAGAAAUCUUGUAUUCUGUCUUGCAUUAUGAUAUCUUACUUGUUUGAAACCGUUCCUUUUGUUCUGAAUAUGCUUUGUCACUUGCUGAGUUGUUUUUAGCUCACUCCGUUGUUAUAUAAAUCUUUCAGGUCAAGUUGUCACUCUUUGAGAUGUUUUGAAUUGGGUUGAGGCAGCGGAG
rnacentral:lncRNA from 1 species